UCUGUCAGUCGCCUCAGUCUGUCUAUGUGUGUGCGUUAGUUAGUCAGUUGUGCCUAUGCGCGUGUGUGUGCGAGUGUCUCGCUUCAUUUUGCCUUUGGUGUCAGUUGAAGAGAAAGAAAACGAAUAGCUCGUCGCAGCUGAGCAGAACGGAGCGGAGUAAACGGAAUAAAGUGUGCUUCAAGUCAAGUUCUAUGUGUUUGCCGGCAUUUUAAUGACGUCACGUCAAGCAGCGCAGUAACAGCCAUCAAGCAAAAGCAACAACAACUGCAAAGUCAGCAAAACCAGAAAGCAAGAAAAAUAAUAUCAAGUAAAAAGCCCGAAAUAAAAAUAAAAAAAAAAACGCGUUUCUUCUGCUGUCGCUCGCUCUCUACUGCCUCCCCCCGCACUAUCGCUGACCCGCUCUAAACCACACUCAGCUGCUCCGUGCGCGUGUGACUGUGUGUAAGUGUGUGCAAAAGUUACAAAUUCUAACAGCAAAUCAAACGAAAUUCGCAACAACAACAGCAACAACAGCGGAGAGAAUCGAAUCAAAUUGAAGCGCAACGCAUCGCUCGCAUCGCAUCGCAUCGCAUCAUCAGCUGCUUCUCAAGAUAAUGUAAAAUCAGCGUAUGCUCAAUAAAGAAAAGCUUAAAUACACACAAAAAUAAGAACAACAAAUUAAAUAUUAAAACAAAAACUGCUAAACUUACAAACAAUAUUCAAGUUAAAGCGUAUUUAUAUAUAAACGUUUGUUCGAAUCAAAAUUAAACUACAUAUAUACAACUCUUAGCCACGAUAGGCUUCAAGUACCCCAAGCUAUUAGCUAUUCCCAAGCUUUGUAAACAAUUAAAAAAAAAAAGAAAACAAUAUACAAAACAAGAACUCAUGCAAAGCGCUAAACAUCUAUGCUAAAUAUAUAUAUGUAUACCUUAUAUAUAUAGGUGCUGAUCUGUGCUAAGAGCUGUUUAUCAUAAAAGAAACAAAAAGUAACCCGAAACAAAACUUGUUGAAGCCAACGUCAUAAAGUAAAACGCGCAACAUUUCUAGUCGCCAGCUAAGCUAUCUAUAAAGUCCCCCAGCUAAAACAAAACUAUAGCUAUAAAUAUAUAUAUAUAUUCAUAUAUACAUAUACAAAAUACUGAAGAAUUGCUGCUGCGAUGGCCAACGUUGUUAAUAUGAACAGCCUGCUGAAUGGCAAGGACUCGCGCUGGCUGCAGCUGGAGGUCUGCCGCGAAUUUCAGCGCAACAAAUGUUCGCGCCAGGACACCGAAUGCAAGUUCGCCCAUCCGCCGGCCAAUGUUGAGGUGCAGAACGGCAAGGUUACCGCUUGCUAUGACAGUAUCAAGGCGACGCACCUCUUAGAGAUGGAUAACUACAAGGGUCGUUGUAAUCGUGACAAACCGCCGUGCAAAUACUUUCAUCCACCACAGCAUCUGAAGGAUCAGCUGUUGAUAAACGGACGCAAUCAUCUGGCACUCAAGAAUGCACUAAUGCAACAAAUGGGCAUGGCGCCCGGCCAGCAGGUCAUAUCGGGCCAAGUGCCAGCCGUGGCCGCAAAUCCCUACUUGACUGGCAUACCAGCCAAUACAUACAGUCCUUACUAUGCAACCGGACACUUAGUGCCUACUUUGCUGGGACCCGAUCCGACGGCCGUCGCCUCACAGCUGGGCCCGGUGGUGCCACAGACCGUGCAAGUGGCCCAACAGAAAAUUCCACGCUCCGACAGAUUAGAGGUCUGUCGCGAAUUCUUGCGCGGCGCCUGCAAACGGGCCGAGUCGGAAUGCCGGUUCGCGCAUCCGCAGGAGAGCGUCGCGCGGCACGACGAUGGUUCCAUAACGGUUUGCAUGGACGCCGUGAAGGGCAGAUGCGCACGUGACCCCUGCCGCUACUUUCAUCCCCCCCUGCACCUACAGGCACAAUUAAAAGCGGCCCAAACACGCGCCACCGCUGUCGCUGCUGCAGCUGCGAGCUCACCUCUUACGGCACACCAACAACUAAAUCAGCAUCAGCAGCAACUGCAGAACCACCUCCACAACAGCAACAAUAGCAACAGCAACAACAACAACAGCAACAACACCAUCCACACGGCCGGCGGCAUCACUGCUGGCGCAACAACAACAACACCAACAGCAACAACAACAACAAACAACGCUGCCGCUGCCGCUGCUGCUGCCGCCGCCGCCGCUGCCGCCGCUGUUAUGGGUCAUCACACACUGGAAGUGGGCAAGAAGCGGUCAGCGGAUCCUGAAAUGUUUCCACUGAUGGAUGUUAAAACGGUUGGUUCAUUUUACUAUGAAAACUUCCAAUUCUCUGGCAUGGUACCGUUUAAACGUCCAGCUGCCGAAAAGUCUGGCAUUCCAGUGUAUCAACCCGGUGCGACAACCUAUCAACAAUUAAUGCAGCCCUACGUGCCAGUGUCAUCAAACACUAAAAUACCGCCACUAAAUGCUUCCUGUGUUAUCUAUACCGAUGCCAGCGGCCAGGUACAGUCGCCGCCUUGGGCUGGCUAACAGCCUGUUGGCAGCAUGUUAAGCGGCUGUUAAUGCUAACACUUGACAUUUAAUUUAAUUUCUCUCACUCUCGCUCUUUCUUUAUAUUAGUUUUAAGUUUUGUUUCUGUAAAGACAACACACACACACACACACCUACAACCAAUGCCCAGACUAAAUUAAAAUAUUCAAUUGUAUUUUAUGUUUAUGUAAUCAACUAGAAAUACAAACACAAUUAGAGCAGCAAGUGUUUAAUAAUCCGCGAAAUUGUCAUAUUUAAAUAAUAAGUAAGAGAACUUUGAAACUAUUUUACGGCUUGCCGAAAUCCCGGUGCCCCACCUGUCCGAUGAGAAAGCAUCUUAGCAAUUAAGCAACUAUUAUAUAUAUAUAUAAACAUAUCUAUAUAACGACCUGCAAAUAUACAUACCUAUACCAAGAAUAGUGUUUAUGUCGGCUACUGUGCUACACAUCUCAACACACUGGCUGCGUGAAUUGGGUUAAUCAAAUUAAAUGCGCUGCCGCGCCCCAAGGGACAGCAGGGGACAGCGACGACAACAGCCAGACCAUAAAGACAACAGCAACAGCAACAGCAACAACAACGACAGCAACAACAAUAACGGGAACGACGAACAAAGUGUCGACGGCCAUUUUGAAGGCGUUGCCAACGUUGUCGACGAUGAUGUCAGCGCGCUGACAUGGACACACCUUUGAGUGUGUCGUAGCUGUUAGCAGCUGUUUGCACAACUGUCUGACCCAAUACGCCACGCCCACACACACACACACACACACACCCAAACACACACACACACAGACACACACAUAUCUACCACCUGUCGUCAAUAUUUGCCAAAUUGAAAAUAAAAUAAAAAAGAAACCAAUGAAAACAAUAGCAAAUAAAACUGUAUAAAACCUUAUAGACAAUGCCAAGCUAAUCCGUUAUCAAUAUUCUCUCUAUUUGAUACUCAUACAACAGCCCAGCCGGAACGGGGCGUUUUAUACACUCAGUGUCCAAUGCUAAUGAAUGGCACAUUUUACAUAAUUAGUGCCGCCUAUUAGGAUAUGUAACUGUUACUGCAUAAUUCAGCCCACUAG
rnacentral:misc_RNA from 1 species